rnacentral:rRNA from 1 species
UACGAAGGGGGCUAGCGUUGUUCGGAAUCACUGGGCGUAAAGCGCGCGUAGGCGGCUUUGCAAGCCGGAUGUGAAAUCCCCGGGCUUAACCUGGGAACUGCAUUCGGGACUGCAUUGCUAGAGUAUGGGAGAGGGAAGUGGAAUUUCAGGUGUAGCGGUGAAAUGCGUAGAUAUCUGAAGGAACAUCAGUGGCGAAAGCGACUUCCUGGACCAAUACUGACGCUCAUGUGCGAAAGCGUGGGGAGCAAAUGGG